rnacentral:rRNA from 1 species
GCUUGCUAUGAUAAAAAUUAGUGGCAGACGGGUGAGUAAUGCAUAGGAAUCUACCUAGUAGUAUGGGAUAGCCACUAGAAAUGGUGGGUAAUACUGUAUAAUCCCUGCGGGGGAAAGAUUUAUCGCUAUUAGAUGAGCCUAUGUUAGAUUAGCUAGUUGGUAGGGUAAAGGCCUACCAAGGCAGUGAUCUAUAGCUGGUCUGAGAGGAUGAUCAGCCACACUGGAACUGAGAUACGGUCCAGACUCCUACGGGAGGCAGCAGUGGGGAAUAUUGGACAAUGGGCGCAAGCCUGAUCCAGCUAUGCCGCGUGAGUGAGGAAGGCCUUAG